rnacentral:lncRNA from 13 species
GGGAGCUCCGGGCACCCCCGCCCCGCACCGCUCCGCUCCCGGCCCUCCCUCGGAAAGCCGCCGCCCCUCUCCUCCCCGCGCUGCGCGGCGCCCGGGCGGCUCGGCAGCGCUGUCCGAGGCGGGACGUCAGCCCCACGCCCGCCGCCUCGCCUGCCUUCCCUCAGUCCCAGCCCUCCCUCCGCUCCUGUCGCGUCCCCGCCCGGCCCUGGAUGCGAAGGCGAGGGGCGGCCGGAGAGAAUCCGGACUGGGCUUUGAGCAGAUCUUGAAGCUCAGCAAUGUCUUAAACGGAUUACACGGAGGAGGGGUUGAAGCUGAAAACCUCAUUCAUCCUCACGACGGUCCUAUUCAUUGCUGAAAUAGGUGUAGCGUAGGAGCCGGACACUGAAGUGGUGCAGCCAGUCACAGCCUGCUUGCAGCAUUACCCUGGCCUCUGACAGCCUGGUAGUUGCAGUUGUCCUCCCAAUAAUGAUGGCAAUAGAGGCAGUGCAGUUCUCAGCCACCAUGUGGGAACAAAGACACGGGGACCUCUAAGGUGCUUAUUUAUAAUAAUAAUGAUAAUAUAUAAUAAUAUAUAUAAUAUAAUCUAAAAAUAUAACAAUAAAAAUGAUGAUAAUAAUAAUAAUUUAAAAAUAAUUGAAAUUAAACACAAAUUUUCAUUUAAUUAAAAUUUCCUUUGAAAUGAAAUUUUCAUUAACUGAAAUAAAAAAAGAGCGAGUGAGGCUUUCCUAGAGUGUAUGAGAUUUAGGCAGGGCCACAGGACACCCCUUUUAUUCACUUUUAGGAUGCUCUUUUGUCUGUUGCUGGUACUUACCAAACAGUUCAAUCAAAGUUGCCACUUUACCUAAAUAAUUACAUGGUCUCUUGCUUACUUACCAAGAACACGUGUUGCAGAUCAGUGUCAGGAAAGUGAACACUACUAAACUGAUAGUCCCUCCUUACCACCACCAGCUCCAUGAGAGAUAGGUCACCAUCCUGCAGGCAUCUGAGUACAACUACCCCAGGAGACCUCAAGGGAUGCAGCUGCACUCACACAAGUUAGAGGCCUGUUUUCUGCCCAUGUUGUAUGAAAAUUCAUCAGAAAUCAGAUCUCUUAUUCCUUUCUCUGGAAAUCCCACAUCAGAGCAUCAGCUCUCAGUUAAUGACGCAUUUUUCAUCAAAAGUAGCUAAAAAUCAGGAGUGAAACUAACACUUGUGUGGUGCUGUGUACC